rnacentral:tRNA from 1 species
GGGGAUGUGGUUCAAUGAUAAGAAUGUUUGCCUGACAUGCACAAGGCUCUCUGGGUUUGAUCCCCAGCAUUGCAA